ensembl:lncRNA
GUUAUGUUUAGGGUUUACGGGUUAGGUUAAGUCUUAGGUAUAAGUUAGGUUAAAUUUAGGUAAUUAUGGGUUAGGUUAAGGGUUAGGUGUGAGGGGUAGGUUAAAUUUAGGCAUAAGUUUAGGGUAAGGCUUUAGGGCAUUUUUGUGUCCCCAUAAGGUUAAUAAAACUUGUCUGUGAGAGUGUGUGUGUUGUGCGUGGUGGGUUCAAGGAGGUUUUAGCACCUAAACCCAGAGUGAAUGCUCUCAUAGUGACAUCAGUCCUGAAAGAUGAAGUAUCUUCUGGUCUGUCUUCUCCUUUCCUCUCUCUGGUCGAUCUCUUCUUGGGGUAUAACCAACACAGGGUUAGUGGUGAUCCAGUCUCCUCAUUAUGUGACGGUAACUGAGGGGGAAACUGUUCCCAUCCAGUGCUGCUGGAAUAAAAAUUUGACGAGGGUCACAGUUAAUUGGAAGAGCAAUGCAAAAAAUACGUCUGAGCUUGUCAAUAAGAGUCAGUGUCAGAAGAGCGCUUCUGAACAGUACGUAUCCUGUUGUUCAAAUCUGACCAUCUCAAACCUGAACAGAAGAGACUCCGGGACAUACACCUGUAAAAUAUCUUCAGAGUCACCAGUUCUUCAACAGUCUGUGGGGAACGGGACACAUCUUACAGUAACUUCAAAAAAUGAUGGAAUCAGCGGUGACCUACAUAACAAUCUGCAUUGGUCUAUCAUUGCUCUUCUGGUUCUCCUGCCUCCCCCAUUACUCCUGGCCCUCCUCUACCUGUACAGAGUGAAAAGAAAACAAGGUCAAACAGUCUUCUGACAUGUUUAUCUUUAUAUGUAUAGUAAACUUUUGUGCUCAUGAAACAGUUGGCACCUCAUCAGAGAAACUUAUCAGAACAAACUUCUUUUGAAUCUUACAGUAUUAAAUGAUGGAAUCGGUGAGUGUUUUCAGACAAUUAACAACUUUAGGGGAAAGCUACACACUUCAUUACUGCUAUAUGAGGUAAGUAUAAGUUGACUAGAAACCACAUUGUGUUUCAAUAGUUGGGCAACAACUCCACUCCUUCUGUACAGGUGACCUACAUAAAAAUCUGCCUCCAUCAAUCAUUGCCCUUCUUGCCCUUCUAAAUGUCAAUAGAAAAUAUUCCAAAAUAAUGUGUUUUUGUUUAGAAUUUGAGACUACAAAGAUAAGACACUGAAUUAGAUACAGUAAUGCUCCUGAAAACCAGAAUGCAGUGCACCUUUUCCAAAAAAUUACAUUACAGCCUUAUUCUAAAAUUGAUUACAUUUAUUUUCUUCUUAAUCAGUCUACAUUCAAUCCCAGAUAUUGACAAAGCAAAAACAGGUUUUUAGACUGUAUGUAAUCUGUCAGUUUGUGUGGUUUGAUAUGAUGUGUGUUUACAGGGGUCAUUGAAUCUUCUGAGGUCAUUUUUACUCCUAGAGGUGUCUCCCAGUCCUUACACUGGUAGCCAUAUUCUGCUACUACAAGUGCAAGAAAAGCCAAACUGUAGUUAAGAGACCAGAGGACACGGCCUUCAGAGAGGAAAGAGACACAAACCAACCGGUGACUUCCUGUUGAUGACAAUGGACCUCAGCCUUGACACCACUCCACUGCAGAACAUCACACCUUGUCUCAGUCGCUCAUCGCUGUUAGUUCACCACUGAUGAACUGAUCCU